UAGAAGGACCGUAAAGGACGUGUCUGAUUGGCUGGACAAGAAAUCGAUUUUAAUGGCAGGCUAUUUGUUGCGCUGUGUUGAAUAAUAAUAUAAUAUAAUAAUGUGAUAUUUCACUGCUCUUCUGAACAGACUUUAGUGUGCUCUGGUCGCUUCAGACGCUAACAGAAUGGCUACGCAAGUUCUUGACAACGGAGCCUGUUCGGCAAAAAUAGGAUACAAGCACGAAAAAGUCCGCGUCAUCCCAAACUGCCAGUUCCGCUCCAAGAGAUGAAGAGAUGAAAGACCAUCAUCAUAUUGCUGAUAUGGUGCAGUUUGCAGACACCAGCAUCGUCAUCACAGAACCUCACUUCAGCUUCACCUCCAUUCAGGAGUCAAUGAAUGAGAUCUUGUUUGAGGAGUACCAUUUCCAGUCUGCUCGCAGGAUAAAUGGAUCAAUGUUGGAGGGAAGUUACUGACCAAUCACCUGAAGGAGAUCAUUUCUUAUCCGUCAAAGGGGGAGAACACCGCGAUGAGGGAUUAUGUUCUAGCAGACUUCAGCUCCAUCAGAAAGGGCUUCUGCAAGCUUCGAGAGGAGAUGGUCUUCACUGGAAAAUGCAAGACAGGAGAGAUCCUGAGGUUGGCCAACGAGCGCUUUGCUGUGCCUGAGAUGCUCCUCCACCCAUCUGACAUCGACAUCCAGGAGAUGGACAUCCCUGAAGCCAUCAUCCACUCCAUUCAGUCCAUGCCGGAAGGUUGGAGAGCAUGAUCAGUUUCCACCUGAGGAGACCUACAUUUUGUAUUAAAAGAGAAUACCCCUGCCAUUCAAACUCAACUGUAAAGAUGACAUUUUUAAAGGAUUCUUGAACGCUUCCAUGAUCAUAAGGCUUGAAACCAUGCUACCACCAGUAUUUUGUGCAAAUUGGCUUGGCUGUUUCCUCAUGAAAGAGUCACCACAGCUUAGCUUUUUGGGUAGUACAUGCACAUUGAUUUCAAAUGAAUGUUUAUGGGGUUUCAUCUUUAAGAACUGAGGAUUCAAUUAGAGUUAGAGUUGGUUUUGCACACUGCUACAUAUGUGAAUGACAGGGUCACACAUAGCCAGCUCAGGACACGUUAAUUGUAGAGGCUAAGGUGCCUCACUGUAGCCAUAGAAAGAUAAUUACUACUAUACAAACUUAUAAAGACUGUUUUUUGUUGUCUGUUUUUUCAAGAUCAGAGGUAAUGAGCAGGAUUUAGAUUUUUUUUUUUUGAUCUGGAGAAAUCAUAGCCAUUACUGCUGCCAAAUAAUGUGUACUUACCAAGAGUUCUUCAUGUGGGACAGGAGAUAAAUUGAGCAAAAUUUAUCAAUUUCACUGUUUUUUUUCCCCAAUAGGCUUUUAUGAGUUUGUUUAAUUGUUUGUUUAUUUAUUUUAACUGCUAUGAUGCUGAGUUACACUUUUCUUAAAGUGUACUUGCAUACUAUACAUGGAAAACAGUUGUAUACAUGUAAUUAGAGUAGCAGGUGGUGAGCAGGGAGAAUAUUCUUCAGUCAGUUGAGUCAAGCCUCCUGCCUGUUGUAGUGUCCUGGAACAAGACACUAAAUUGUCUUUAAGAAACAUCCACUUGCUAAAUAUCAAGCACUUUUUGCUGUGGUGUUUCUGUCCUGCACCUCCCAGAGAUCACCUGUCAAUCAAACAGUGUGGGCGACACUGUGGCUUCUUUAAACUUGGAUUUUCGCCUGACAAAAUCAAAGCUUCUUUACGUUGUCUGUUCAGCCAUGAUGGUGAUGCUCGUGGUGAGUACGCAGUUCUUCUGUUCACCACAAAGUAAAACACAUCACCUCCUGUGUGCCAGAGGAUGUUUCCCCAAGGAAGAAGCCAUAUGGUCUCCAUAUCAGCUAAACUCCCUGAGAACCAUGAAUGAACUGAAAUGGCAGCUUCACACUGAAAUAGCAGCACUGUAUUCAUUCAUCUGUUGUUUUCAUACAUAUUCAUAUUCAAUGUGAAGGCAACAGACAGAUCAGUCACACCUACAGCCAAUUUUAACUCCUGCAGUUCAUUUGACUUAAUUUGUCUUUGAAAUAUGGGAGGAAACCUGAGUAACAAAAACUAGUAAAAGCACACCAAAUAAUGACAUGAGACCAGUCAUAUGCUUAUGGAUGUGUAUUUUAAUAAAAAUAAUUCUGUCAAAAUUAAACAGAAUACAAUAUUUCUUUUUUU